rnacentral:rRNA from 1 species
GACGAACGCUGGCGGCGUGCUUAACACAUGCAAGUCGAACGAAGUGGCGAACGGGUGAGUAAUACGUGUGUAACCUGCCCUCCUUUUUGGGAUAAGCCUUGGAAACGGGGUCUACUACCGAAUUAAUGGGGAUGGGAUCGCGGCCUAUCAGCUUGUUGGUGGGGUGAUGGCAUACCAAGGCGGUGACGGGUAGCCGGCCUGAGAGGGGGAACGACCACAUUGGGACGGAGAGACGGCCCAGACUACUACGGGAGGCAGCAGUGGGAGAUAUUGGACAAUGGGCGAAAGCAGGAUGCAGAGACGCCGCGUGGGGGAUGAAAGCUUUCGGGUUGUAAACCUCUUUCGCUAUAGAAGGAGUAGGUGGAAAAGAGGCGCCGGCUAACGACGUGACAGCAGCAGCGGUAGUAC